rnacentral:rRNA from 1 species
GAUGAACGCUGGCGGCGUGCCUAACACAUGCAAGUCGAACGGAGAUUACGGACGGAAGUUUUCGGAUGGAAGCCUGUAAUUCUUAGUGGCGGACGGGUGAGUAACGCGUGGGCAACCUGCCCUAUACAGGGGGAUAGCAGCUGGAAACGGCUGGUAAGACCGCAUAAGUCGGUUAAAUCGCAUGAUUUGAUCGGGAAAUGAGCAAUCAGGUAUAGGAUGGGCCCGCGUCCGAUUAGCCAGUUGGCAGGGUAAAAGCCUACCAAAGCGACGAUCGGUAGCCGGACUGAGAGGUCGGACGGCCACAUUGGGACUGAGACACGGCCCAAACUCCUACGGGAGGCAGCAGUGGGGGAUAUUGCACAAUGGAGGAAACUCUGAUGCAGCGACGCCGCGUGAGUGAAGAGGUAUUUCGGUAUGUAAAGCUCUAUCAGCAGGGAAGAUGAUGACGGUACCUGACGAAGAAGCCCCGGCUAACUACGUG